ACAGAGGCAGCCUCUGCAGCUCAGAGCUUGUGCCCUGCAGAGCAGAGCCCGAGGGAGCUCCUUCCCACCCGUGGGAUCUGAGAAGCUGGCAACAUUCCCAGAGAGCAGAGAGAGUGCUGUCAGAGGCAGUGCUGCACGGCCAUGUGUGGCACUCCUGAGGCGAGAGGGGCAGCACAGCCUUGCGGGCCAGCCCCUGUCUGAAGCAGCAUAAGGCACAGGACCUGCUCCAAAGCCCACAGAAACCAAUGCCAAUCCUUUCACUUCCAUGGGUUUGAUGUGCCACUGCUGUCACUGUCCUGUCCCUCCACGCUCCAUCCUGCCUUGCCCCUGCUCGGCUCCAUCCAUCCUCUCAUGCCUCCCAGGGAAAACAAAGCUGCAUGAAUUUGCAGGCUCUCGUUCUGUGCAAGGACCUCAGCCCUUUAAUAUGCAGCUCGCAGUCAUCACUCCCAACCUCAGCAGCCAUCUGCAGAAAUGUUUUGAAGCUCACUGACAUGCUGAGCAAGUGGACCUGAUCGAGAAAUGAUGGUCAACAGCUGCCAAAGGGGAGAGGGAUGGGAGCUGAGAGCUUCCACCCAUGGCUCCUGCGUUGCCCCACAGUGCUACUAGCCAGUGAAAAAUAUGUCAGAACCUACUGAACGUGCCCAGUUUGCAUCUCAGUGCAUUAAAACACAUCAGCUGUUUCUUAACAUUCUAUUUUCAGUCUUCUUUCGGUCAUAAUUUGGCCUAAGGACUACAUCUGUGAUGAAUUCCUUGUAACAGGACCUUGCCAUUUGGACUGUGGUUGUCAUCAAAAUAUCCUAGCGUGCUCACACAGGCUGAGGGAAGGCACUUUGCAAAACAUUCUGUCACUCAAGAAUUAGUUUAAAAGGCAAAAGAAUAACAUCACUGCUCCUGCUGAGCUGACAACUAGUCUCUGCUGAAAUCCAGCCUUGCAUUGCUCUGGGUAGAGAUGUGGAUGUUUCUCCGUGUAGAUGCAAGCACAGCAGCAGUGAUCUGCACAGACAAUAAAUCAUAGCAGAGUUUAGGUUGGAAGGGACCUUAGAGGUCCUCAAAUUCCAACCCCCUUCCCUGGGCAGGGACACUUUCCACUAGCCCAGGUUGCUAGACCAGAUCCCAUCCGGUCUGGUCUUGAGCAGCUCCAGGGAUGAGGCAUCCACAGAGUCUCUAGAGCCAACCUGGUCAGUGUCUCGGCACCCUCACAGCAAAGACCUUCUUAAUGUCCAAUUUACAUCUACCCUGCUCUAGCUAAGCUCUCAUUUCAUGAAGCAAGCAGCCAGCACCAAGAGCCUUCUCUCCAACCCUCCACUUUAAGGCAUGUUCUCUCCUGGAGUUCUGCACCCAAGUGCCUUUGGAAGCCAAGAGAACAUCUCCUCAUAGACUGCACAGGGAGCUACCAGCUACUGAAGUAGUUUAAUGAUUCCGACUGUAACAGCCUGGCUUUGGCUGUGCCAAUUAAACAUAGACCUGGUGGGAAAAGCAGCCUCAAAUCCUGACGUUUCUGGGCUUUGCUGCCUGAGAUGCUCCCUCAUCAGUGAGGGUUUGCAGCUCAGCU